rnacentral:rRNA from 1 species
GACGAACGCUGGCGGCGUGCUUAACACAUGCAAGUCGAACGGAAAGGCCCUGCUUUUGUGGGGUGCUCGAGUGGCGAACGGGUGAGUAACACGUGAGUAACCUGCCCUUGACUUUGGGAUAACUUCAUGAAACUGGGGCUAAUACCGGAUAGGAGCUCCUGCUGCAUGGUGGGGGUUGGAAAGUUUCGGCGGUUGGGGAUGGACUCGCGGCUUAUCAGCUUGUUGGUGGGGUAGUGGCUUACCAAGGCUUUGACGGGUAGCCGGCCUGAGAGGGUGACCGGCCACACUGGGACUGAGAUACGGCCCAGACUACUACGGGAGGCAGCAGUGGGGAAUAUUGCACAAUGGGCGGAAGCCUGAUGCAGCAACGCCGCGUGCGGGAUGUCGGCCUUCGGGUUGUAAACCGCUUUCGCCUGUGACGAAGCGUGAGUGACGGUAAUGGGUAAAGAAGCACCGGCUAACUACGUG